CAUUCUAAAAAUUCAUUACGCAGCAUUAAAAAUAAAUUGAAUGAUGUACUUACGGUCCGUGACUAAUCUAAUUACUAAUCAACAAAUAAAACAGAUUGAAUUGCCGGGAUGAAUUAAAAAAUGGAAUUAAUUAACGCCUCGCCCAGGUAUCCCCGAGGGCUUUUGCGAAGUGGUCGUCCACUGGAAUAAGAAAAAAUUAUUUAUCACGUAAUACAAUGUCUUAAUUCAGUGAACAAGUGGUAAUGGAAGGGAUGAAAUCAAUUACCACUGAGUCCGGUUUCCUUAUCAACAUUGGAGGAAGCAUUGAAGACAGCCGCAUACUCCUCGAGGCCCAAUGAUC